AACGAACGCUGGCGGCAUGCCUAACACAUGCAAGUCGAACGAUUGCCUUCGGGUGAUAGUGGCGCACGGGUGCGUAACGCGUGGGAAUCUGCCCUUAGGUUCGGAAUAACAGCUGGAAACGGCUGCUAAUACCGGAUGAUAUCGCGAGAUCAAAGAUUUAUCGCCUGAGGAUGAGCCCGCGUUGGAUUAGGUAGUUGGUGGGGUAAAGGCCUACCAAGCCGACGAUCCAUAGCUGGUCUGAGAGGAUGAUCAGCCACACUGGGACUGAGACACGGCCCAGCCCCUUAGGGGGGGAAGCGGUGGGGAAUAUUGAACAAGGGGCGCAACCCUGACCCAGCAUGGCCGGGUGAGUAAGAAGGCCCUUGGGUUUGUAAACCUCUUUCCCCGGGAAAGAUAAUGCGUGCACGGGGAAAAAAGCCCCCGCCAACCCCCGCC
rnacentral:rRNA from 1 species